UGGGGCAUUGUAUAAUGGUAGUAUCUUGAUUUCCAAAAUCAAUUGUGGUGGUUCGAUUCCAUCUGCCCCAGA